AUUGAACGCUGGCGGCAGGCCUAACACAUGCAAGUCGAACGAGUGGCGGACGGGUGAGUAAUGUCUGGGAAACUGCCCGAUGGAGGGGGAUAACUACUGGAAACGGUAGCUAAUACCGCAUACCAUCGGAUGUGCCCAGAUGGGAUUAGCUAGUAGGUUGGGUAACGGCUCACCUAUGCGACGAUCCCUAGCUGGUCUGAGAGGAGGACCAGCUACACUGGAACGGAGACACAGUCCAGACUCCUACGGGAGGGAGCAGGUGGGAAUAUUGGACAAUAGGCGCAAGCCCGUGUCAGCCAUGCCGAGUGGAUGAAGAAGGCCUUCGGGUUGUAAAGUACUUUCAGCGAGGAGGCGUUACUGGAAGAAGAAGAACCGGAUAACUCCGUGCCAGCCGCCGCGGUAAUAC
rnacentral:rRNA from 1 species